rnacentral:lncRNA from 1 species
AGGAAAUGGACCAAGGGGAACAGAGAGAAACCAGUCCCUGUGUUCACAAAUUCCAGAAGAUUCUAGAAGAGAUAACAAAGCUUCUGGGAUCACGAGGGCACAAGAUGGAGCAAGAACAGCCCAAAUGGGCCACUCCCAGUGGGGAACUUGCCUUGUCUCCCCACAACUGUCAUUGUCACCCCUCCCAUCAUGACCAAGCAGUAUCUGCUCCCUGGAGAGAAAAGGGCUACCAAGUAGAAGACAUUUCAAAGUGUCCUGAAAUCCAAGCAAAAAAGAGUAAGAGAACACAUCUCUUUAAGAGGAGAGAACUGACCACAGCCCUGUCACUGACUGACUCUGGGACAUCCUAGAAAUCCAUAACUGUACCCCAGAGCACAGCGUUAUUUUGGGAACCAGCACUACACUUCUUUCAAGUUUCACGGACUAGGACUGCUCCUUCGGCUCCUCGAUGGACCUCACCCUCACUCAGCAAUCUGGGGACCAGCCCCCCACCCUGCCUCAGAACACUAGGCCACAAUGGAUGGCCUUUGUGACUGCCAUAAGGUUUAUCUCACUAAACAGACUGAGGAAAGAGUUGGUCACCAAGCCCUCUCACAGGGAGUUUUCAUACAGUCUAAUAGAGAACUACAGGCUGCGGGACAGGGAAAGGAGGCGGGGAAAAGGAUAAAUCAUCUUCCCCACUUUGGAGCCCCAGCCAGAACACUCAGGACUACUCACUCCAUUCUCAGCCCAGACAAUCCAGCUGGUGCAUUGCUUUGGUUGCCUUAAUGAAGACUUCCUCUCUCUAAAGAAAAAAAUGGAAGAAAAGUACCAAAGAGUUCUUGGACACUUUAGACUCUUACAAAACAACUGUUUUAUAGUUAAGUGUAAAUUAAAUUCUGGAACAUAUGGGUUGAAUUUUUCCUUAAAAUACACAACGAUUUUAUAAUUAAGUGGAAAAUUCUCUGGCAAAAUGCAUUUUGAAUUUGACUUUUUGCCAUGGUCCAAAUAUUUGGAACCAAAAGCUCAAAACCUAGUUUAAAAUAUUCAAGAAACUCAAAUCAGGACUUGAUUCUGGCUUGUUGGUGUUAAUAAUUCUGCUGCCACUCUUUAGAUCAUGGUGCUGAAGCAGCAUUCAAGAGUCUUGCUGUAAUUCAUGUAUAAUUUAAUUAUUCCUACAUCCAUUUAACAAACCCCACCAGUCAGCUACCAUAGAUCAACACUCUGCUCAGCCUCUUUAUCUCCAGAUUUAUGAAGUGACAUUGCAUCCUAGCUGAACUUUGGUACUGGAAUUAGCUCUCAAAAGGAUGAGUCUAAAGGAUCCACUUUAAACACUGGACUAAAUUCCGUAGAUGUAAGAGUUGUGUUAUUCUGAGAAAUCGAUGCUAUAUAUUGUAAAAAUCUAGCACCUUCGUAAAGAAAUUAUUAGAUUAGAGGCAGAGAAAUAACUACCAUUCAUUUUCUUGCUUCUUGACUAUAACUGCCCAUGUGAAGUCUGACACAUGAAGAGGUUACGUCCCGUGACCGACAGAAAGAAGAGCCACGCGGAGCCCUUUGAGGGGAAUGGCUGGAAGGAACGUAGUACGCGGACACUCUCCAGGAUUGGCGUCUUCAGAACCAGCCUUGGUGCCGUGGCCAGAGUCACACCUUAUUCUGGGCUCCCCUGGCCAGUGACUGCACAAGGCUGAGAUCCAAGGCUCCAAACCAACGAGACUAGGGAUAAGAUGGGACCACCCACGGGUCACUCGUGCUCCAGACCUCUCUGUUGGAUGGGCCAAGAUUUUGUCAGGGCUACCACAGUGGACAACUCCUCUACCCACUCCUGCUUUUUCCCUUCACUUUACUUCUCCAGGUUGCUACCUGAGGCUCCAACUUGCAGCACAUCCUGACAACAAUGCCAUUGGCAGUGAAGACCAAAAUUCUGCUAAGGCUGUUUUAAUUAAGGACAAUGUUAUUCGCUCUACCACAAGAACCACAUCUCUGUGUUGGAAAGUGAACAAUAGACAUCUAAGCAUCUUCUAUGAGUUUCUUCUUUCCUUUUCAUUUCUCUGCCAUGGAAAUUUCAGGAAAAGCAUUCCAAAAAUUCAACCCUAAAAUAAAAUGACAAUGACCACACCGCAUCUUAAUAGAGCAUAAGAAUCAAAUAAACCUUUCUACUGUUUGUCCAGCUAGCAAGAUUUACAGGACAGACAUGGAAAGAGAAGGGAUUAGGUGAAGAGGGACAGAAAAGGAGAGAGAAAGAAAAGGAGAGCAUGAAAACAGGAGAGCCCACAGUGGCCGGAGAUACAAAUAACUUGCAGCUUUCCGCCG